rnacentral:rRNA from 1 species
GAUUGCCUCAGUAACGGCGAGUGAAGCGGCAACAGCUCAAAUUUGAAAUCUGGCCUCUUUGGGGUCCGAGUUGUAAUUUGUAGAGGAUGUUUCGGGUACCGCCUCGGUCUAAAUUUCUUGGAACAGAAUGUCAGAGAGGGUGAGAAUCCCGUCUUGGACCGGCGGUAGGGCCCAUGUGAAACUCCUUCGACGAGUCGAGUUGUUUGGGAAUGCAGCUCAAAAUGGGUGGUAUAUUUCAUCUAAAGCUAAAUAUUGGCCAGAGACCGAUAGCGCACAAGUAGAGUGAUCGAAAGAUGAAAAGAACUUUGAAAAGAGAGUUAAACAGUAUGUGAAAUUGUUGAAAGGGAAGCGCUUGCAACCAGACUUGAGCGCGGCGGUUCCCCCUUCCUUUUGGUUGGGUUACUCCGUCGUGUCCAGGCCAACAUCGGUUCUGGGGGUCGGUUAAAGGCUUGGGGAAUGUACCUACGUCUUCGGGCGUAGACUUAUAGCCCCGAGUGUCAUGCGACCUCCCGGGACCGAGGAACGCGCUUCGGCUCGGAUGUUGGCGUAAUGGUUGUAAGCGGCCCGUCUUGAAACACGGACCAAGGAGUCUAACAUCUAUGCGAGUGUUUGGGUGUCAAACCCGGAACGCGGAAUGAAAGUGAACGGAGGUAGGAAGCUUCGGCUGCACUAUCGACCGAUCCUGAUGUCUUCGGAUGGAUUUGAGUAAGAGCAUAGCUGUUGGGACCCGAAAGAUGGUGAACUAUGCCUGAAUAGGGUGAAGCCAGAGGAAACUCUGGUGGAGGCUCGCAGCGGUUCUGACGUGCAAAUCGAUCGUCAAAUUUGGGUAUAGGGGCGAAAGACUAAUCGAACCAUCUGGUAGCUGGUUCCUGCCGAAGUUUCCCUCAGGAUAGCAGUAACGAAAUCAGUUUUAUGAGGUAAAGCGAAUGAUUAGAGGCCUUGGGGUUGAAACAACCUUAACCUAUUCUCAAACUUUAAAUAUGUAAGAAGUCCUUGUUGCUUAAUUGAACGUGGACAUUUGAAUGUAUCGUUACUAGUGGGCCAUUUUUGGUAAGCAGAACUGGCGAUGCGGGAUGAACCGAACGUGAGGUUAAGGUGCCGGAAUGCACGCUCAUCAGAUACCACAAAAGGUGUCAAUGCAUCUAGACAGCCGGACGGUGGCCAUGGAAGUCGGAAUCCGCUUAGGAGUGUGUAACAACUCACCGGCCGAAUGCAUUGGCCCUGAAAAUGGAUGGCGCUUAAGCGUGUUACCUAUACCUCGCCGUUAGGGUUGACAUGAUACCCUAACGAGUAGGCAGGCGUGGAGGUCCGUGACGAAGC